GACGAAGGGGGCUAGCGUUGUUCGGAAUACUGGCGUAAGGCGCGUGUAGGCGGUGUUUCAAGUCAGGUGUGAAAGCCUUGAGCUCAACUCAAGAAAUGCACUUGAUACUGGAUGACUAGAGGACCGGAGAGGAUAGUGGAAUUCCCAGUGUAGUGGUGAAAUACGUAGAGAUUGGGAAGAACACCAGUGGCGAAGGCGGCUAUCUGGACGGUUUCUGACGCUAAGACGCGAAAGCGUGGGGAGCAACAG
rnacentral:rRNA from 1 species